AGGGGCUCAAGGCUGGGGCAGAGGGUUGGGGUGCAGGCCCUACCACUUGAAUUCAAGUGGUUUGAAGGUGAGGUGCUGAGUCAGCAUACCUUGGUUACAUAGAGUGGGAUAUUUUUCAAAAGCAGUCAGCAUUGGCUUAACUCUGCGCCCACUGAAGUUCUCCCAUUGACUCCAGUGAAGGAGAGGUAAGCAAACAUCAAGUGCUUCUGGAAAUCCCAUCCAGAAACUUUAAUCCUUAGUUCCUCAAAUGCAGGUUUAUGAACACAAAUGGGAGUAAUUAUAAUUUUAAAAACUCUGUCAGACCUCCCACACUGAAGCUGAUCAUUAAAAAAAAAACAACCAAAACAAACAAACAAAAAAACCCCCAGACAAUACUGGUGUUUUCUUUUUAAGUCUUUAAAGCUAUCUGUAUAGAAGUUCAUAAUAUUUGCUGUUACUUUAAACUAGCUUACCCUACCAAAUCUUUCUUCUUCUAUUUGAAAACACAGUUGUGUGCUAUCACCCACUCUUCCUAAUGAAGCUACACUUUAUCAAAGGUUCUCUGUUAACAGCUUGCUUGAUUGGCCAUUCAUACUUUUGAUGUCAGGAUGUGCUCAGGGACAGAGCAUUGCUGAUGUAAAACCAGCAGAGGGAGCUAAAUUACUUUUCACAGUAGUGUAAACAUGGCAAUAGGUUUUUACUACAGCUGGUCAAAAUUUUUCACACAAACAUUUGGAACGCCUUUUCUCUUGAAAUUUUGACAAACAGGAAUAAAAUUGUGCGGAAAUUCUCAGUUUCUCCCCUCCCCGCCCCCAAAUGUUUUUUACUGGCUUGUUGCAUGCCUUUGGUCCGUGAUGGUAUAUGGAAUUUUGCUUGAUUAUUUAAUAGAAAUCUUUAAGACAGAGUACAUUCCCAAGCAAAUUUAAGGCAGCACAGAUUUUUGGGCUAUACUAUUUGAUGAUAUUGUUUGUUAUAGUUGAAAGCUUUGCAUCAGAAGUACUCAUUUAAAAUACACAUACUCUCUGUGCUGGUAAAAAGUGGCAAUAGUAGUUGCAAUUAAACUGCAGCUAGUGGUAUAAAACCAUAUAAACCUUGCUGCGUACACUCUUUUGCACUCCCAGUUCUUUUCUAGUAGAUAGCAGAGAUGAUUGUCUUUGUAAUUAGUGAUUUUAAAUAAGUUCUAAUCUUUUAACCAUUGGUAACCCCAAUGCCCUUUCCCAGGAGUGUGGUAGUCUUGAGAGCCAAGUUUUACCAUGACUUACUUACUGUGAAACUAAAGUGAAUGCAUUGCAGCCUGAGCUGCUGCAGCAGGGGAGAGGCACCUCUCCCCCGCCACAGCAGCUCCGGGACUGGGGCUGUGGGAAAAGCGCCUCUUCCCCGUCGCAGCCUUGUAUGCCCCAAGUAACUUGCUCCCCACCCUACUCUCUACCUCUACGCGGUACUGGAGAACCAAGUGAUGCAUUGGAUCUGGCAGCAUGGAUCAGGGCAUAAGGUUUCAAAAAUGUACAUGUAGUAACACUACAUAAUUCAGAUAUUGCUACAUUCUUCAGUAAUGCUGUAGAUGUUGCCUAAGAUCUAGCUGAAUGUGUUAUCCCCUUUCGGUGGUGGUGGGGGGAGGUGGAUGAAUGCCUGCAACAUCAUGACAAGUGAUAAUACAUCCACAUAUGCAUCUUCAUAAUCUCUGGAGUAGAGACUGAGGACCCUGUGGAUCCAUCCUUGAAGGAAAUGAAGAGCUUAGAUGGAUUUCCUAAAUUGCUUGGUCCUAUAGAAGUAGAAAGCCAAUGCCUGUCUAACAUCCAAGGUAUGUAAACAAGAUUCCUGCAGAGAAAGAACUAUGCGACUUUGGGGAAAACACUGGUAGAUUAAUGGACUGCUAAGGUGGACCUCUGAUAGAAGCUUAGGUAAGAAUUUAGGGUGUGGACAUAAAGAGACUUUGUCCCUAAAGAACACUGUGAAAGUGGGUGGGGAGAAAUCUGCCAUCAAGUCUCCAAUCUUCCCGACCCUAUAGGCCAAUGUGAUGGCUACUAAUAAGGCCGUCUUCAUACAUAAAUGCAACACAGAACAGAUUGCCAUUAGUUCGAAUGGAGGUCUCAUAAGGUAACUGAGUACCAGGUUGAGGUCCCAAACCAGGAUAGGGUUUCUAAUCUGCAGACAGAGAUUCUACAAAACGCUUAAUAAAUAAAUAGAUGAUACUGGAUGACCAAAUUUGGAGAACCCUUCUACUGGAGAAUGAAAGGCUAAUACUGUGGCCAAUGGACCUUAAUCGAACUAACUGAUAACUUGAUUUCUUUAGCUCCAACAGAUAAUCAAAGAUGAUUGAAAGUGGCACCAAAUCAGGCAAGAGGCAACAACAAUACCAAUGGAAGACUCUCUUCCAUUUCUGCAGCUACAGACCCAACUCUGGACCACAGCAAGGACCAUCUGGGUAGAAGACAGCACUGCUUAGUAGGAACGGCCCUUGAGUAGCCAGUUGUCAAGGUAUGGGAAGAGUAGGAUCGCUUUUUGUCAGAGGUGUAUAUAUACCCAAGGAUUGUAAAGUAGCCCUAGACUCCUUUAGAGUAUGCAAGGACUCAUCCGUGGUUUCCAAGAACAGCUUACAACCAUUGAAGGGGAGGUCCCUCCAUGGUGUUCUCUAUUUCUCAGAAACCCCAAGGAAUGGAGCCAAGAUGCCCUGCACUCCACCACCACCACUAUGGAGAUGGACCUGGCAACAGCGUCUGCAGCAAUUUAGGAUUCUUGAAAAGCAGUUCUGGCCACCAACUAGCCCCCUGAGGCUGUGGACUGGAAUUGCUCCCUAUUUUCUUGUGGCAGAUGUUCAAUAAAAGCUAUGAAUCUGUUAUCAUUAUAUUUGGCCUAGGAAUGUAAAUAGCGGUUUAAAAAAAGGGAGUUAGAUGGAGAGUGUGAGAACAAAAAGUAAGGGGAACAUACCUCUUAUCCACCCAUUUAAAUUGAGGCAAAAUAGUGGCAGGUAUCUACCACACUAUCCUAGCUGGAUCUAGGAGCACCUCACUGAUGUGUAAUGCCAUCAUGGAGGGUGUUGCUGUCUGCAAGAUAUCCAACACUUUGUGCAGUAAAUCCUUGUCCUUUUUGAGAGGAAUCUGAAGAGUGUCAGCUACCCUCUUUAUGAGGUCUUGAAUUGCCAAAAAUCAUCAGCCAUGGCUGGUGGCAGAGACAUAAACACCUUGGCUAGUGACAAGGAUGAAAAUAGGUGUUUGAGUGGUGACCGCCUUAUGUGCCAUGGCUUCCUGCUCCUCACAUGUCUCCUCCUGUGAGGGGGGGGGCUGGUUAGGGAGGAGAGGGCUGUACAACUCUGGUCACCCUAUGAGAUGGUAUCAGUAGUUUGGUAAAUUGUUGACAGGCAGCCCAGGAAUCACAACAUGGGCACUGGAGGGGCCCAUAUGGCAUUGGGGGUGGCAUGCAGGGUUGGUUCCACCACCCUUGAUAAUGAGUCCAAUCUUUGCUAUGACUUGCAGAGAAUGUGUUCCUGAAGGGAUAUGUUGGUGAACCCUGAACAGAAACAGGAGACCAGCAGGGACUUCCCUCCAUUACAUUCAAUGGAUGAUUACCUGCUGAAAAUAGUGGAGAGUCCUCCAGUAUUGGAGAACAGUAGUUCAGCGUCACAGUCCUCAGAGAUGCUUGGUACUCAUGAGGAGCUGGGACUCCCUUAUAGAGCGUCCUUAGUAUAUCUGAACUCCUGUGGUACCGAGUAGGGGAUUGGUACUGAUGCAGUAGCUGAGGCCACGGUGGCUGAAGCCUGUGGUACCGCUGAUGGUGGGUGUACUAAAGCGGACGCCAAUGGUGUCUGGUGCUGUUGCCUGUUUGAUGCCGACGAUUCUGCAUGCACGUGUACCAGCGGUUGGGCUAAACUCAACGCUGCCAAUACCGAGUGUCUCUGCUUGCUGGUAGAAGGUACUAAGGGCCUAUCGGAGUCAUUUCUCUCCU